CAACCUACCUGGCAGGGGAAUAUUAGCCAUGAUCAAUAGGUGGCUCUUCCAGGGCAAGGCUGGUUCAUUGCACUGCAAGCCUGCUGACCUCUGCUAUUUCUCCACAUGUGGGAAACUCGACUGCACAACUUAUGGUAGGUGCGGACUGCAUGCACGUUUUCCCCUG